CUUAAAUGCUCCCUCCUCACUUUUCCACCUCCGGAUCGGGAUUGGGUCCUCCCAGUAAUGUGGAAAGCUGGGCGCUAGGAACAGGCUCCGCUGCUUUCAGAGUAGUGCUGGUCGUUUCCUCACUGGAGGAGUAAUUCAGGAAUCGGAUGAGUCUCUGUGGUUUGUUUUGCCCUGAAGAGCAGAAGGCUUCGGUCCCAGCUGGUGUUGCCAAAGCAGCAUACUAAUUCCAUGCCGUGGUCCUGGGUCAAGAUCUGCACAAUCUGAUUGGCCAUAUCACCUCGGAUGGCAAGGGAACGGAAGUGGUCAAAAUCAUGAAGACCCAGCUUCCGGAGACGCCUUGCAGCUGCCCGGUAUCUCAGACCCUAGUGAGGAGGAAAGAGUUCUAAGGGCAUAACCUGUAUUCCUUAUCAGGAAGGUGAGGAACAGAGCAAGCACCAUCUUAUAAAACUCUGCUUUUCAGACUUGUAGUUGGGUAAGUCUGGAUUCCAGAGAUUCCUCAUUUAGCCUUCACUCUACAACCUCAAUUUUACUACCUGGCUUCACCACCCCCUUCUGAGAGUUAUUCUGCUUCUACAUCCAUUACUCCCAAAAGUCGCUGCUGAUCUUCCUUCUAGCCAAGUCUAAUGAUUUGUGAUUUUCACCAUCUCAGCACCUUUUUGACUCUUAAACAAGUCACCAUCUCCUUUCUCUAGCGUUGACUUCUAUAACCAUUAUAACCAAUUCAAAUUUGUGUUGUUCUAAUCCAUUUUUUCAAGGCAUUUUUAUGUAUCACCUCAUUUUGCUCUGUGCAACAAUCCUGUAAGGAAAAUACUUAGGCCUUUUUGCAAGUGAAGAAAGUGUGGCGGGAAGUCACCUAAUGUCCAAUAAUAGUAGCAUGGAUACUUAAAUGUGGUAUAUUCAUUAAGACAGAAUACUAAAUAGCAGUUACAAAUGAAGGAAUUCAGCUCAGUGCAUCAAUAUGGAUGACAAUGUUGAAUAUAUAAUGCUCAGUAAAAAAGCAAGACACAAAACAAAAUACAUGGUAAGCUUCCAUUUAUAUGAAGUUCAAAAAUGGGUAAGAUUAAACUACAUUGUUUAGAGAUACAAAAAUAGUGAGCUAUAAAGAAAAGCAAGUAAAUAAUAAAAGUCAGGCUAGUUGUUACCUUUGGGUGGAGGGGGCGGUUUAUGAACAGGGGAAGUGAUAUAAGGGAUUCAUGGGGUACUCACAAUGUUUCAUUCGUGAUCUGGACUAUUGUGAUAAAGGUGUCUACAUUAUAAUAAUUCAUAAAGUGUAAAUUUAUGUUUUAGGCACUUUUCUCUAUGUGUGGCAUAGAAUUUCACAAAAAAUUCUGUAUUUUAAAAAUUAUGAUUCAGAGGCUAGUGACCUGUCCAAUGUCACACAGUACAUGGAAUGAUUUAGGCUACAUUAGAUUCUUUCCUCUAUACCAGGCUUCUCACAUUUUAAUAUCCAUAUUAAUAAUUAAUGAUAUGCAUAACACCUAUGGAUCUUAUUAAAAUAAAGCUGCUGAUUUAAUAGAUUGUGUGUUGCGGGGGGACCGAGAUUCUGUAUUUCUAGUUUGUUUGUUUUUUAAGUAGGCUACAUACUCAGCAUGCAGCCAACUCGGGGCUUGAACUCACAACCCUGAGAUCAAGACCUGAGGUGAGAUCAAGAAUAGGACCCUUAACUGUCAGAGUGACCUAGGCGCCCCCUGAGAUUCUGGAUUUCUAAUAAGCCACCCAAGUCAUACUGACGUUGUAGCUCAAGGACCACAUUUUGAGUAGGAAGGUCCUAUACUAUGCUGCUUAAUUUUCUCCCCAUUUCCAUACUUAUUUCUAUUCUGGCUCCCUCUUCCAAUCUGAUUUUGGGUAUGCCAGUUUGACUAGUCAUUUUGCUGCAUCAGUCACUCCUCCACAUCUCUUCACCCUCUCCAUCCUCAAUUCCCCAAUCUCAGAAUACCCUAGAAGCUUAAAAAAGAAAAUAUAGGGGUGCCUGGGUGACUCAGUCAGUUACGUGUCUGCCUUUGGCUCAGGUCAUGAUCCCAGGGUCCUGGGAUGGAGCCCCACAUUGAGCUCCCUGCUCAGCGGGGAACCUGCUUCUCCCUCUCCCUCUGCCUGUCGCUCCCCAACUUGUGCUCUGUCAAAUAAAUAAAUAAAAUCUUAAAAAAAAAAAAAAAAAGAAAAUACAGACUCAAGGGUUCAAUCACCCAAGAUCCUGAAUCAGUAGGUCUAGAGUGGGGCCUGGACGUUUUAGAAAUGUAAACAAAGCACCCUAUAAAUUAUGGUACAUCCAUACAAUUUUGAAGCUGCUAAAAAAGAAUGUAGUGACAUGAGUGACCUCCAAAUCAUCAAGUGAAAAGCAAGGUGAAAAAUAGUGUGCUACUAUGUAUAAAGCUAAAAGAGGUAGGAUAUUUAUACAUACAUAAAUGCUUGUGUACACAUAGGCUGCAUGCCCAAGAAAUUAUAAACAGCGGUUGCCAUUGUGUAGGGGGAAAGGAGAAUUUAGGGUCAGGAGUAGAGACUUACUUUUUAUUACAUGCCUAUAAUUUGCAAUCAUAGGGUCAGAAUGUCUGCUUCUCUAGGAUAUGCUAGUAGUUACAAUAGGUGUCAGACAUUUCGAUAUUCUGGAUGUGAUUUCACUAUAAUCACUCUACGCUUAACAAUAGCGGUAAGAAGACAGGGCAAUGCCUUCCUCCACCAGGAAGCUGUAUUCUCCCUCUCGAUCCUCUCCA